rnacentral:rRNA from 1 species
UACGUAGGCAGCGAGCGUUGUUCGGAGUUACUGGGCGUAAAGGGUGUGUAGGCGGUUGUUUAAGUUUGGUGUGAAAUCUCCCGGCUCAACCUGGGAGGGUGCGCCGAAUACUGAAUGACUCGAGUGCGGGAGAGGAGAGUGGAAUUCCGUGGUGUAGCGGUGAAAUGCGUAGAUAUCAGGAGGAACACCGGCGGUGUAGACGGCUCUCUGGACCGUAACUGACGCUGAGACACGAAAGCGUGGGUAGCAAACAGG